rnacentral:rRNA from 1 species
CCUACGGGAGGCAGCAGUGGGGAAUAUUGCGCAAUGGGCGAAAGCCUGACGCUGCGACGCCGCGUGAGGGAUGAAGGUCCUCGGAUUGUAAACCUCUGUCAGUAGGGAAGAACGGUAACUGUGCUAUUCAGCAGUGAAUUGACGGUACCUGCAAAGGAAGCACCGGCUAACUCCGUGCCAGCAGCCGCGGUAAUACGGAGGGUGCGAGCGUUAAUCGGUAGUACUGGGCGUAAAGCGCUCGUAGGCGGUAUGUCAAGUCAAGGGUGAAAUCCCCGCGCUCAACGUGGGAACUGACUUUGAAACUGGCAGACUGGAGUGUGGGAGGGGAUAGUGGAAUGCCCGGUGUAGAAGUGAAAUCCGUAGAUAUCUGGAGGAACAUCAGUGGCGAAGGCGACUAUCUGGCCCAUAACUGACGCUGAGGAGCGAAAGCGUGGGUAGCGAACAGGAUUAGAUACCCUGGUAGUC